CUCAGCUAACACCUGUUCAGAAAUUCGAGGCAUCUGCUGCGAAUCAGAAACAGAAGCAAACAGCUACUCUUCAACAAGAUAACCUUCAACAAUACUGGACUGCAAACCAAGUUCAACAGCACCCUUUUGCUCCUUUGGCGACAUACGUACCUCCUCAGCCUGUGCCUGCUCAGAAAUUCAAAGCACCUGCUACGAAUGGCCAACAGAAAAAAACUGGCAGUCUUGAAGGAGAUCCCAAUCAUCAAGCUUUGAAGGCAAACCAGGUUCAACAGCAACCUUUUACUCCUGUGCCCGGAUACGAACCACCUAAGG